GGAGUUUCCCAGGCGGUCGCUGCUGGUUUCGACCAGGAGAGGAAAGUCCGGGCUCCAUAGGGCAGGACGCUGGGUAACGCCCAGUUGGCGUGAGCCACAGGCUAGUGCCACAGAGAUAUACCGCCUUCCUUUCGAGGAAGGUAAGGGUGAAAAGGUGGGGUAAGAGCCCACCGGACGACAGGUGACUGUCGUGCCAGGUAAACCCCGUCCGGAGCAAGACCGAAUAGGGAGGGAUGAGGCGGCCCGUCGACCUCCGGGUACGAUCGCUUGAGGCGCUCCGUGAGGGGCGUCCUAGAGAAAUGACCGCCCGCGACAAAACCCGGCUUAUCGGGGGACUCUUCAC
rnacentral:RNase_P_RNA from 1 species